CUGAGGGGAGCUGGGAAUCCAAUAAAGAAAAACGAGGAGGUGGCCGUCAGUGUGGUGGUGAAGAAAUCCAGGAGGCAUCUAUGAAACAGACCUCGGGGGAGCCCAGCUCCAACUGCCACAGCGAGAACAACCAUCACAGUGAGUGCGGGUCUGCUGUGUGCCAAAGCUCAACUGCUGCUGGGGCCUGGCCAUCUCCCAGGAAGGCAGCAUGGACCCUCACCACGGGUAAGGUGCCCACUCUUCACACAGAAGAGUGUUCUUUUAAAAUUUACUUUA
rnacentral:lncRNA from 1 species